UGAAACGUACAAAAUUCUGCGUACAACAGAAAGGUGUGUUUGUCGAUUGAUACUUCCGAUAUUUACCUUCAGGUAAUCGUACUGCAGAUAAGAUUUGCUAAGGUCAUCGAAAUUAGGUGGUUUUCUCGAAAUCUGUCGUUGAGUCGUUACUUUUAAGCAGGCGUUAGCUGAUAAAUGAGUCUAGUCGAGUGCGAAAUUCAUAUAAACAUUUGCGUGCAGUUAGUCUGGGCAGUCUACCAGUUUGGGGCAGAUCAAACAGUUUAGUCGAGGGCAAUGGGCAAUACGAAGUCUAGGUCUCCCACGCCUAUUGUGCCUAUAUCCGACGAGGGAUCUUCCCACGAUCAUACGCAAGAUGUAAUGGAGGAAAUAAUUGUUCCAAAACAUGUGACAAGUGCGUACCGUGUGAUAUCAGCACCCACAAUCUGCCCACCCGGUUAUAAAGCAGACCACAAGGGUAAUUGCCGGAAGGUUGCCAGUUUUUGAAAGAAGUCUUCCACUCGCCUAAUCUCAUCAUUUGCUGUUAUUGGAAUAGAAAAAGUGAUAGUAUACUUUCUGUGACAAUGUGGGACAUAUAAUUUAUGUAUUGUAUUAAAUGUAAAAUUGUUAAAUUAUUUAUUAUUAGUGUGAACCAUAUUAAAAAAAGAGGGAAUAUUCAUGUU